rnacentral:rRNA from 1 species
UUAAGCGACCAAGCGUACACGGUGGAUGCCCUGGCAGUCAGAGGCGAUGAAGGACGUGCUAAUCUGCGAAAAGCGCCGGCGAGGUGAUAUGAACCCUUGACCCGGCGAUGUCCGAAUGGGGAAACCCAGUGUGACUCGUCACACUAUCAUUAACUGAAUCCAUAGGUUAAUGAGGCGAACCGGGGGAACUGAAACAUCUAAGUACCCCGAGGAAAAGAAAUCAACCGAGAUUCCCCCAGUAGCGGCGAGCGAACGGGGAGGAGCCCAGAGCCUGAAUCAGCAGGUGUGUUAGUGGAAGUGUCUGGAAAGGCACGCGAUACAGGGUGAGAGCCCCGUACACGAAAAUGCACCUGCUGUGAGCUCGAUGAGUAGGGCGGGACACGUGGUAUCCUGUCUGAAUAUGGGGGGACCAUCCUCCAAGGCUAAAUACUCCUGACUGACCGAUAGUGAACCAGUACCGUGAGGGAAAGGCGAAAAGAACCCCGGCGAGGGGAGUGAAAAAGAACCUGAAACCGUGUACGUACAAGCAGUGGGAGCACAGGUUUACCUGUGUGACUGCGUACCUUUUGUAUAAUGGGUCAGCGACUUAUAUUCUGUAGCAAGGUUAACCGAAUAGGGGAGCCGGAGGGAAACCGAGUCUUAACCGGGCGUUAAGUUGCAGGGUAUAGACCCGAAACCCGGUGAUCUAGCCAUGGGCAGGUUGAAGGUUGGGUAACACUAACUGGAGGACCGAACCGACUAAUGUUGAAAAAUUAGCGGAUGACCUGUGGCUGGGGGUGAAAGGCCAAUCAAACCGGGAGAUAGCUGGUUCUCCCCGAAAGCUAUUUAGGUAGCGCCUCGUGAACUCAUCUCCGGGGGUAGAGCACUGUUUCGGCUAGGGGGCCAUCCCGGCUUACCAACCCGAUGCAAACUGCGAAUACCGGAGAAUGUUAUCACGGGAGACACACGGCGGGUGCUAACGUCCGUCGUGAAGAGGGAAACAACCCAGACCGCCAGCUAAGGUCCCAAAGUCAUGGUUAAGUGGGAAACGAUGUGGGAAGGCCCAGACAGCCAGGAUGUUGGCUUAGAAGCAGCCAUCAUUUAAAGAAAGCGUAAUAGCUCACUGGUCGAGUCGGCCUGCGCGGAAGAUGUAACGGGGCUAAACCAUGCACCGAAGCUGCGGCAGCGGCACGCAAGUGUUGUUGGGUAGGGGAGCGUUCUGUAAGCCGUUGAAGGUGUGCUGUGAGGCAUGCUGGAGGUAUCAGAAGUGCGAAUGCUGACAUAAGUAACGAUAAAGCGGGUGAAAAGCCCGCUCGCCGGAAGACCAAGGGUUCCUGUCCAACGUUAAUCGGGGCAGGGUGAGUCGACCCCUAAGGCGAGGCCGAAAGGCGUAGUCGAUGGGAAACGGGUUAAUAUUCCCGUACUUGGUGUUACUGCGAAGGGGGGACGGAGAAGGCUAUGUUGGCCGGGCGACGGUUGUCCCGGUUUAAGCGUGUAGGCUGGUUUUCCAGGCAAAUCCGGAAAAUCAAGGCUGAGGCGUGACGACGAGGCACCACGGUGCUGAAGCAACAAAUGCCCUGCUUCCAGGAAAAGCCUCUAAGCGUCAGGUAACAUCAAAUCGUACCCCAAACCGACACAGGUGGUCAGGUAGAGAAUACCAAGGCGCUUGAGAGAACUCGGGUGAAGGAACUAGGCAAAAUGGUGCCGUAACUUCGGGAGAAGGCACGCUGACAUGUAGGUGAAGCGGUUUACCCGUGGAGCUGAAGUCAGUCGAAGAUACCAGCUGGCUGCAACUGUUUAUUAAAAACACAGCACUGUGCAAACACGAAAGUGGACGUAUACGGUGUGACGCCUGCCCGGUGCCGGAAGGUUAAUUGAUGGGGUCAGCGCAAGCGAAGCUCCUGAUCGAAGCCCCGGUAAACGGCGGCCGUAACUAUAACGGUCCUAAGGUAGCGAAAUUCCUUGUCGGGUAAGUUCCGACCUGCACGAAUGGCGUAAUGAUGGCCAGGCUGUCUCCACCCGAGACUCAGUGAAAUUGAACUCGCUGUGAAGAUGCAGUGUACCCGCGGCAAGACGGAAAGACCCCGUGAACCUUUACUAUAGCUUGACACUGAACACUGGUCCUUGAUGUGCAGGAUAGGUGGGAGGCUUUGAAGCGUGGACGCCAGUCUGCGUGGAGCCGUCCUUGAAAUACCACCCUUUAAUGGCUGGUGUUCUAACGUGGGCCCCUGACCGGGGUUGCGGACAGUGUCUGGUGGGUAGUUUGACUGGGGCGGUCUCCUCCCAAAGAGUAACGGAGGAGCACGAAGGUUGGCUAAUCCUGGUCGGACAUCAGGAGGUUAGUGCAAUGGCAUAAGCCAGCUUGACUGCGAGCGUGACGGCGCGAGCAGGUGCGAAAGCAGGUCAUAGUGAUCCGGUGGUUCUGAAUGGAAGGGCCAUCGCUCAACGGAUAAAAGGUACUCCGGGGAUAACAGGCUGAUACCGCCCAAGAGUUCAUAUCGACGGCGGUGUUUGGCACCUCGAUGUCGGCUCAUCACAUCCUGGGGCUGAAGUAGGUCCCAAGGGUAUGGCUGUUCGCCAUUUAAAGUGGUACGCGAGCUGGGUUUAGAACGUCGUGAGACAGUUCGGUCCCUAUCUGCCGUGGGCGCUGGAAGAUUGAGGGGGGCUGCUCCUAGUACGAGAGGACCGGAGUGGACGCAUCACUGGUGUUCGGGUUGUCAUGCCAAUGGCACUGCCCGGUAGCUAAAUGCGGAAGAGAUAAGUGCUGAAAGCAUCUAAGCACGAAACUUGCCCCGAGAUGAAUCUUCCCUGAGACUUUAAGUCUCCUGAAGGAACGUUGAAGACGACGACGUUGAUAGGCCGGGUGUGUAAGCGCAGCGAUGCGUUGAGCUAACCGGUACUAAUGAACCGUGAGGCUUAACCUU